CAAGGAAGAGGGAAGCAGCUUUGGCUUUGGCCCUUCCCAAUCCUCUCUUUCCCCCAUCCUCUCAGAUGCUACAGGGCCAGGCCUUGAGCCUGCUCCAUUCACAGCUUCAGCUCUUCUACCUUAAUGGCACCUGGGCCAAGCCCAGGAGUAGCAGCCACAACUCCGGCAGUGAGGCUUCUGUGGUCUGCCAAGGCCAUGUGCCCCCCUUGCUGCCGAUGUCCCCGACCUGCUGAGCGCCCUCCUAGAUCACAGCUGGACUGUGCUUCCUGGUCUACUUUGGCAGCCUCUGUGGCCUAACUCAGCCGUCCUUGGUCGGAUUUCUCCCUCUGGCACCCGAGACCUGGGCAUCACGGUUCAGCUCUCUCCUCUGGCUGUCAUUCCCCGUCCCUCUGUUCCUCUUGGGACGGCCUGCAGGAGGCUCUGAGGACUGGCCAGACUACCCAUGCGUGGCUCAGCAAGAGGCCUGUAUCCUCCGAGAAGACUAGGGGGACGGGAGCUGUGCAGCUAGGAAGGAGGGAGCAGGCUAGGCCCAGAGCCCUGGACUCCCCAUCCUGGGCCCUCGAGGAAAGAGCCAAUAAACGGCCCUUGGGAUUCUAUA